rnacentral:rRNA from 1 species
AGGGCAUACGGUGGAUGCCUAGGCGCCAAGAGCCGAAGAAGGACGCGGUAAGCUGCGAAAAGCCACGGGGAACUGCAAGCAAGUAUUGAUCCGUGGAUAUCCGAAUGGGGAAACCCGGCCAUCGUCAUGGAUGGUCACCCGCAAGGGAGGGAACCUGGGGAACUGAAACAUCUAAGUACCCGGAGGAAGAGAAAUCAAACGAGAUGCCCACAGUAGCGGCGAGCGAAGAGGGCAGAGCCCAAACCGAGAAGCUCCGGCUUUUCGGGGUUGAGGACCGGCAGAAUCGAAGUCAGGCCUAGUUGAAUUACCUGGAAAGGUAAGCGAGAGAGGGUAAAAGCCCCGUAGACGAAAGGCAGAGCAGAGAGGCCGAGAUCCAGAGUACCACGAAGCACGAGGAAUUUUGUGGGAAGCAGGGGGGACCACCCUCCAAGGCUAAAAACUACUUGGCGACCGAUAGCGCAUAGUACCGUGAGGGAAAGGUGAAAAGAACCCCGGGAGGGGAGUGAAAUAGUACCUGAAACCGUAUGUCUACAAGCAGUCGAAGCGAAAGCGACGGCGUGCCUAUUGAAGAAUGAACCAACGAGUUAUCUGCACUAGCGAGGUUAAGUGGAAGACACGGAGCCGCAGCGAAAGCGAGUCUUAAGAGGGCGCUAGUUAGUGUAGGUAGACCCGAAACCGCAGUGAUCUACCCAUGUCCAGGUUGAAGCGCAGGUAAAAUUGCGUGGAGGACCGAACCGGUGAGCGUUGAAAAGCUUUCGGAUGAGAUGUGGGUAGGGGUGAAAUUCCAAUCGAACGCGGAGAUAGCUGGUUCUCCCCGAAAUAGCUUUAGGGCUAGCCUGAGGUAGUAAGUAUAGGCGGUAGAGCACUGAUCGGGCUAGGGGCCGUAAAGGUUACCGAACCCUGUCAAACUCCGAAUGGAUAUACUGUAGAGCCUUGGAGUCAGACUACGAGUGAUAAGAUCCGUGGUCAAAAGGGAAACAGCCCAGACCACCAGCUAAGGUCCCCAAUGUCGUACUAAGUGGAAAAGGAUGUGGGGUUUCAUAAACAACCAGGAUGUUGGCUCAGAAGCAGCCACCAUUUAAAGAGUGCGUAAUAGCUCACUGGUCGAGAGACCCUGCGCCGAAGAUUCCCGGGGCUAAAGUACGAAACCGAAGCUGUGGCUGUAUACGUAAAGUAUACGGGGUAGGGGAGCGUUCCCAUAGGGUAGAAGUCGAACUGGAAGGUUCGGUGGACUUGUGGGAAGUGAGAAUGUUGGUAUGAGUAGCGAAAAGAAAGGUGAGAAUCCUUUCCACCGAAAGCAUAAGGAUUCCUGAGCAACGAUCGUCGUCUCAGGGUAAGUCGGGACCUAAUCCGAGGCAGAGAGCGUAGGAGAUGGACAACUGGUUGAUAUUCCAGUACCGGUAGUAAUUGUUUGAGCAAUGGAGUGACACAGAAGGGCAGGCAAGCAUGCGAAUGGAAGAGCAUGUGUAAGCGUGUAGGGUGGUGCAUAGGCAAAUCCGUGCACUGAAAGCCUGAGGCGUGAUGCGGAGUGAGCAGAGAUGCGAGCGAAGUUGUUGACCCCACACUGUCGAGAAAAGCUUCUAGUGAGAGAGCUACCGCCCGUACCGUAAACCGACACAGGUAUGCGGGGAGAGAAUCCUAAGGUGCGCGGGAGAACCCUCGUUAAGGAACUCGGCAAAAUGUACCCGUAACUUCGGGAUAAGGGUAGCCACUGUUGUGAAGUCCCAUGCGGAUGGAGCAUAGAGUGGUCGCAGAGAAGAGGCCCAAGCGACUGUUUACCAUAAACACAGGUGCCUGCUAAAGCGAAAGCUGACGUAUAGGUGCUGACACCUGCCCAGUGCCGGAAGGUUAAGGAAGGAUGUUCGGAUUAGUCCAAAGCAUUCGACUGAAGCCCCGGUGAACGGCGGCCGUAACUAUAACGGUCCUAAGGUAGCGAAAUUCCUUGUCGGGUAAGUUCCGACCCGCACGAAAGGUGUAACGAUUUGGGCACUGUCUCAACGAGGGACCCGGUGAAAUUGAAAUACCUGUGAAGAUGCAGGUUACCCGCGACUGGACAGAAAGACCCCAUGGAGCUUUACUGUAACCUGACAUUGGGUUUUGAUACAUUACGUACAGGAUAGGUGGGAGGCUUGGAAAGUUGGACGCUAGUCUGACUGGAGCCGACGUUGGGAUACCACCCUUGAUGUAUUGAAAUUCUAACCGCGAGAGUAACGAAAUCCGGGACAGUGUCAGGCGGGCAGUUUGACUGGGGCGGUCGCCUCCGAAAGAGUAACGGAG